rnacentral:tRNA from 1 species
GCCACCGUGGUGAAAUUGGUAGACACGACGGAUUCAAAAUCCGUUGCUUCGGCGUGGCGGUUCGAGUCCGCCCGGUGGUACCA